rnacentral:tRNA from 1 species
CAGGGAGACAACAAAAUGUUUAAUAUUAUUAUUUUGUCACCUUAGGUCGAUCGGUAUCUCACGUUCUUAAUUUAUUAAGAAUUUCAUUUCCUAAGUUUUUCUAGGUCACACCCAUUUUUUUCCUGGGCCAUUAGCUCAGGUGGUUAGAGCGCACCCCUGAUAAGGGUGAGGUCCCUGGUUCAAGUCCAGGAUGGCCCAUAUCUCUAUGUUGGGGGUAUAGCUCAGUUGGUAGAGCGCCUGCUUUGCAAGCAGGAUGUCAGCGGUUCGAGUCCGCUUACCUCCACUGAUUACCACCUCUUCCAUAUUCUGUAGAAAGGAAAAUUUUUUGAUUUGUGAUCAUUAUUCUGAACGAAUCUAGCUUCCUAAUGAAACCAUUAAGAUGCUGGACUCAUUGAAUUAAUUUCAUUGUUUUCAGAGAACCUUGACAACUGCAUAGAUUAUUUUUAAAGACAAUAAGCAUCUUUAAUGAUGCAGAUUUAUUAUUUGUGCGAAUGCAUUAAUAACAAUUCUAUUAAGCUGAUGCUUCAAUUUUGAAGUUAUU